CGAAAGUAAAAUUUCGUGGAGGUCCGAACCCACGAGCGUUGAAAAGCUCGGGGAUGACUUGUGGGUAGCGGUGAAAUUCCAAUCGAGCCCGGAGAUAGCUGGUUCUCCCCGAAAUAGCUUUAGGGCUAGCCUCAAGGUGAGAGAUACGGAGGUAGAGCACUGAAUGUCCUAGGGGGUAUUGCACCUACCGAAGACUAUCAAACUCCGAAUGCCGUCAUCUUAUACUUGGGAGUCAGACUGUGGGUGAUAAGAUUCAUAGUCGAAAGGGCAACAGCCCAGAUCGUCAGCUAAGGUCCCUAAAUGUAAGUUAAGUGGUAAAGGAUGUGGGAUUGCACAGACAACCAGGAUGUUGGCUUAGAAGCAGCCACUCAUUCAAAGAGUGCGUAAUAGCUCACUGGUCGAGUGAUCCUGCGCCGAAGAUUUCCGGGGCUAAAACUUACUACCGAAGCUACGGCAUCAGUAAUGAUGGGUAGGGGAGCUUCCCAUACGGGUUGAAGCAUGACCGUAAGGACAUGUGGACAGUAUGGGAGUGAGAAUGUUGGCAUGAGUAGCGAGAUGUGGGUGAGAAUCCCACAGGCCGUAAACCCAAGGUUUCCAGGGGAAGGUUCGUCCGCCCUGGGUUAGUCGGGACCUAAGCUGAGGCCGAAAGGCGUAGGUGAUGGACAACAGGUUGAUAUUCCUGUACUACCGAUAACCGUUUGAGAGAAGGGAUGACACAGUAGGAUAAGCUAAGCACACUGUUGGUUAUGUGUGCCCAAGCAUUGAGGCAGUCAAAGUAGGCAAAUCCGCUUUGAUAAUGCUGGGAUGUGAUGGGGAGCGAAAUUUAGUAGCGAAGUAGCUGAUUUCACACUGUCAAGAAAAGUCUCUAUCGAGGUUAAAGGUACCCGUACCGCAAACCGACACAGGUGGGUGAGGAGAGUAUCCUAAGGCCAGCGAGAGAACUGUUGUUAAGGAACUCGGCAAAAUGACCCCGUAACUUAGGGAUAAGGGGUGCCACCAUCAGGUGGCCGCAGAGAAUAGGCCCAAGCGACUGUUUACCAAAAACAUAGGUUUCUGCUAAGUCGCAAGACGAUGUAUAGGAGCUGACGCCUGCCCGGUGCUGGAAGGUUAAGGGGAUCUGUUAGAGCAAUCGAAGCAGUGAACUUAAGCCCCAGUAAACGGCGGCCGUAACUAUAACGGUCCUAAGGUAGCGAAAUUCCUUGUCGGGUAAGUUCCGACCCGCACGAAAGGCGUAACGAUUUGGGCACUGUCUCAACAACAGACUCGGUGAAAUUGUAAUUCCGGUGAAGAUGCCGGAUACCUGCGACAGGACGGAAAGACCCCAUGGAGCUUUACUGUAGCUUGACAUUGGGUCUUGGUACUACAUGUACAGGAUAGGUGGGAGGCUUUGAAACCAGGACGCCAGUUUUGGCGGAGCCAUCCUUGGGAUACCACCCUUGUAGUACUGGGACUCUAACCAUAGGCCAUGAAUCUGGUCUUGGGACACUGUCAGGUGGGCAGUUUGACUGGGGCGGUCGCCUCCCAAAAGGUAACGGAGGCGCUCAAAGGUUCUCUCAGUACGGUCGGAAAUCGUACGUAGAGUGUAAAGGCAAAAGAGAGCUUGAUUGCAAGACAUACAGGUCGAGCAAGGAUGAAAAUCGGACUUAGUGAUCCGGUGGUUCUGCGUGGAAGGGCCAUCGCUCAACGGAUAAAAGCUACCCUGGGGAUAACAGGCUUAUCUCCCCCAAGAGUCCACAUCGACGGGGAGGUUUGGCACCUCGAUGUCGGCUCAUCACAUCCUGGGGCUGUAGUAGGUCCCAAGGGUUGGGCUGUUCGCCCAUUAAAGUGGUACGCGAGCUGGGUUCAGAACGUCGUGAGACAGUUCGGUCCCUAUCCGUCGCAGGCGUAGGAAAUUUGAGAAGACCUGUCCUUAGUACGAGAGGACCGGGAUGGACG
rnacentral:rRNA from 1 species